CGCGCCCAAGGUCGGCACCACCGCCCCCGCCAUGGGCGCGUGGCGCGCGACCACCCCCUCGGGCCCCUCGCCCGCCGCCGCCACCCCCAAGGUGACCACCUACAAGCCCGCCCUGCCCGCCACCGCCAAGCCCAAGACCGCUGGCCUCAAGCUGGCCGGUGAGGCCUCCACCACCUCGACCUCGGAGAACGGCGCUGCCUCCAACGGCAACGGCAACGGUGCCUCGGCCUCCAAGACCUCGGCUGCCAAGCCCCUGGUCUCCGCCGCCACCCGC
rnacentral:lncRNA from 1 species